rnacentral:rRNA from 1 species
UAAUACGUAGGCAGCGAGCGUUGUUCGGAGUUACUGGGCGUAAAGAGUGCGUAGGCGGUUCUUUAAGUUUGGUGUGAAAUCUCCUGGCUUAACUAGGAGGGUGCGCCGAAGACUGGGGGACUGGAGUGUGGGAGAGGCAAGCGGAAUUCCUGGUGUAGCGGUGAAAUGCGUAGAUAUCAGGAGGAACACCUGUGGUGUAGACAGCUUGCUGGACCACGACUGACGCUGAGGCACGAAAGCGUGGGGAGCAAACAGGAUUAGAUACCCUGGUAGUCCACGCCCUAAACGAUGCAUACUUGGUGUGGGCAGUUCAUUCUGUCUGUGCCGGAGCUAACGCGUUAAGUAUGCCGCCUGGGGAGUACGGUCGCAAGGCUG